rnacentral:lncRNA from 1 species
UUCAUAAUUGGGGUGGAUUCACGGUGGCGGCGAUGCGAUUUCUUGUUUGUGUUGAUUAUCUUUCGUCUUGAUGUAAUCGGUUCGGCAGGAAAUUCGAGCUGUUGUGAUGUUGGUUCUUUCUGGCAAGUUGAGAGAAAAGCACCUUUCCAAUCACUGCUUCGUUACUGAAACGGAUAGUCUAGUGUAAUAGGAUCCAUCAUGAGCUUCGGGGAGAAUUUUAUGCUUCAUUUCAGUUUGUACGAUAAUAAUUGUAGUACAUAUGAAGGUCAUUUGCAAUUUGAUUUGGAGAUUGAGGAAGAUGGAAAUCGUAUGAGAAAGGGUGGGCUUUGGUAGAACAGUAAGGUUGCUCCGUUGUGAUUUAGGAGACGAGGGUAGUCUCGGCCUCUCUAAAUAUAUAAAGGUAAAGCUGCAUACAUUGACCCUCAGACAUGCAAUCGCGGAAGUGCCAUACACUGGGUUUGCCCUUUAGAAAUCAUGAGCAAG